rnacentral:lncRNA from 1 species
GAAGCUCUGCCCUCAAAGAGACCGAAUAAGAAAGGGAAGGUUGCAUUGAACUGGAUGAUUCUGUGCCAAGCUGGUGAAGGACCAGUGAGCCAAUUACAAAAGGCUGGUGGGUGACUUGAGCCACUAGAGCAGGGUGGAAGUCUGCGAAGGUGUUUUGUACCCAGCAAGAUCUGCAGCAGAGCUGAGGGAGGGAAGCCCUUCACCUGAGCCCUAUCCCUGCUAUCGAGGCACAUCUUGACUCAGCUCCACAAGGCUCUGAAAUAGUCCAAAACAGGAGGACGGGCAUUCAGUCAAAGCAAGGAUUGCAGGAAAUGUCAGAUGUGUGAGCUGUUACCUCGUAGGGCUGAAACCCUUGGAAGGUCCUUGGCUGGAGAAAGGGAGUAGCUAUUGGAAGGUGACAUGGAUGCCUUCUUGGAGUUGCUCCCAAGUGGCCUUUAUCUGGGACAGAAAGAGGAAUAAUAACUGCAAGCAAAGAUACCACCCAAUUGGAUGGCCCUGUUGUGUGACAGCAACCUAUCGCUGAUUGAAGCAGGUAAUUAUGAUGCUGAACAUGGCUCAGAAAGUUACCCAUGCAGGCAUCUAGUGUAAUUUUAAAAUGAAGC